rnacentral:rRNA from 1 species
GUGAAUGGAGGAUUUAGAAAUUGGAAUCACAAGGCUAGUUUUGGGAAACAUGUUGGUGGGAUCAAUAGUGCACACAACAAAGCACAAGAGAAAUACAAUUUCUUCAUUGCACCCAAAACAACAAUCGUAGAGUCAUUUUCUUCAACCACCAAACAAGACAAGGUUCUAUAUAUAGCUCGCUUGACAUAUUCUCUUAAAUGCCUGAGGUUUCUUUUGGGUCAAGGGUUAGCUUUUCGUGGACAUGAUGAAAGAGAAGUUUCACUUAAUAAAGGUAAUUUCCUUGAGCUUCUACAUUGGCUAGCAGAGAAUUUUGAAGAAGUGAAUAAGGUGGUUCUUAAGAAUGCUCCAAAGAACAACAAAAUGAUAGCUCAUGAAAUACAAACAGACCUCAUCAACUCUUGUGCCAAAGAAACUACUAGGCUUAUGAUGGAAGAGCUAGGUGAUAGUUGUUUCUCAAUACAUGCCGAUGAAUCAAGUGAUGUGUAUCUACAAGAACAAUUGGCUCUUUGUCUGCGUUAUGUUGAUAAAAUCGGAAGGGUGGUUGAGAGGUUUCUUGGUAUUUUACAUGUUGCAAACACCACAUCUUUGACACUCAAAACAGCAAUUGAGAGUUUGCUUAUGGAACAUGGUUUGACCUUCUCUAGAGUACGUGGGCAAGGGUACGAUGGUGCUAGCAACAUGAAGGGUCAUGUCAAUGGUCUAAAGAAACUAAUUAUGGAUGAGUCCCCUUCUGCCUAUUAUGUGCAUUGUUUUGCUCAUCAACUUCAGUUAUCUCUAGUUGCUGUUGCUAAGGAGAACCGUGAUUGUGUUUUGUUCUUUCAACAACUUGCUAAUCUAUUGAAUGUUCUUGGGAUGUCUUGUAAGAAGAUUAGAAUGCUUCGUGUGGCUCAAGCUGAACGGAUCAUUAAAGCAUUGGAAUUGGAGGAAAUUGAAACCGGUAAAGGCAUGAAUCAAGAGAUGGGUUUGAGUAGGCCGGGUGACACUCGUUGGGGAACUCACCACAAAACUAUUAUGCAUAUUCUUCGCAUGUAUCCUUCAAUCCGGCUAGUUCUUAACAAGUUAGUAAGAGACCCAACUCAAAGCAAUGAGGCUAUGCUUGCUGAAACUAUGUUGACAUAUUUUGAGUCAUUUGACUUUGUUUUCAUGGCACACUUGUUGCAAACCAUAUUUGGGCACACCAAUGACUUAAGUCGUGCUUUGCAAAAGAAAGAUCAAGACAUUGUUAAUGCUGUUGAACUCAUUCAUUUGACAAAGAUUCAAUUGCAAUUGUUGAGAGAUGAUGGUGGAUGGGAAACUUUCCUUGAA